rnacentral:rRNA from 1 species
UUGGGAAUAUUGGACAAUGGGGGAAACCCUGAUCCAGCAAUGCCGCGUGAAUGAUGAAGGCCCUCGGGUCGUAAAGUUCUUUUAGUAGGGACGAAGGGAAACUUGACUGUACCUACAGAAAAAGCACCGGCUAACUCCGUGCCAGCAGCCGCGGUAAUACGGAGGGUGCAAGCGUUGUUCGGAAUUAUUGGGCGUAAAGCGCGUGUAGGCGGCUAUGAAAGUCUGGUGUGAAAGCCCGGGGCUUAACCCCGGAAGUGCACUGGAUACUACAUAGCUAGAGGGUCAGAGAGGAAAGCGGAAUUCUUGGUGUAGGGGUGAAAUCCGUAGAUAUCAAGAGGAACACCGAUGGCGAAGGCAGCUUUCUGGCUGACAUCUGACGCUGAGACGCGAAAGCGUGGGU